AGCAGCCGCGGUAAUUCCAGCUCCAAUAGCGUAUAUUAAAGUUGUUGCAGUUAAAAAGCUCGUAGUUGAAUUUCGGGAUCAAUUUGUCGGUCGUGCCUCGGUACGUACUGGCAUUAUUGGUUUCUACCUUCUGAAGAACCUUGAUGUCAUUAAUUUGGUGUCUUGGGGAAUCAGGACUGUUACUUUGAAAAAUUGAGUGUUUAAAGCAGGCAUACGCUUGAAUACAUUAGCAUGGAAUAAUGAAAUAGGACGUUUGAUUCUAUUUUGUUGGUUUCUAGGAUCGACGUAAUGAUUAAUAGGGAUAGUUGGGGGCAUUAGUAUUCAAUUGUCAGAGGUGAAAUUCUUGGAUUUAU
rnacentral:rRNA from 1 species